rnacentral:tRNA from 1 species
GGGGAUUUAGCUCAGUGGUAGAGCCCUUGCCUAGGAAGCGCAAGGCCCUGGGUUCAAUCCCCAGCUCCG